AGCUCGUCGCCAGAAAUGGACAAGCGGAAGGAGUCUUUCAUUACGUCCACGUCUCAGUCUGGAUUCAGUCUCGGUCUGCAGGAACCAUCAAAGUCUCCUGUGGACCAAAUCAUCCAACUUUGUUCCUUGCCAGGGUUUGGAGGUUGAAAAGUCAAGAACUCUGACUUAUUUUACUCCUGAGCUCAACUACGUGCCUCCUGUCGUGGAAUAUCAGUCCAAAUGAAGAUAGUUCACUCUGAAAUAUAAAGCAGCCGUUCUGCUUAUAACUGAAUGGAUUUGACUGCAGUGUUUUUGUUGCAGGAAGCUUCCCUGUACACGGUCAAAGCUGUUUUCAUUCUGGACAAUGAUGGCAACAGACUUCUGUCAAAGUAUUAUGACCCAGAGUUUUACCCCUCCAUGAAAGACCAGAGGAACUUUGAGAAGAACAUUUUUAACAAGACUCACAAAGCAGACACUUUAGAUGAAAUCGCUUUCCUGGAGGGAAUGACGAUCAUCUACAAGAGCAGCAUCGACCUUUUCAUCUAUGUGGUCGGCAGCGCUCAGGAGAACGAGCUGAUGCUGAUGUCUGUACUCAACUGCCUGUUUGACUCCCUCAGCCACAUCCUCAGAAAAAAUGUGGAGCGAAGGAGUUUACUCGACAACAUGGAAGGAGCGUUUCUUGUUGUUGAUGAAAUCAUUGAUGGAGGGGUGAUUCUGGAGAGCGAUCCCCAACAGGUCAUCCAAAAGGUCAAUUACAGGCUCGUGUCAGAGCCCGCCUACGGGUUUGUCCUAUUUGAUCACAUGACUGGUAACCUGCAGGGACAAACAGACAGGAGCCAGCUGCUGUAGACAGUAGGACAGAAGAAGGGUGGAUGACAAUUCACUGUCUGAACAAAGCGUAGCCCAGCACAUAACCGACAAGCUGGCUCUCACUUCCGUUGUGUUGCAGUCGGCCAAGGAGCAGAUCAAAUGGUCCAUACUGAAAUAAACCAGCUUUCUUAGCCUUUGUGUAGCAGCCUGGGAACACCAAAGGGAAAAGAUUCAUGUUCUUUAUGUUUCUGUUUGUGGUUCACUGUUCAGCACAGUGCAGGAGGAUGAUGAUGAUGAUAAUGAUGAUAUUAACAAGUACAGUAAUCCUUCGUUUGUGGUGGUUAAUCAGUUCCAUUCCCAACCAUGAUAAGUGAAUUUAUUUAGAAAUUGAAUAUUUCGGUAGUUAGGGCAUAGAAAACCAGUUUACCACUUUCUAAAUACGCUUAUUAUUAGAGCCCUCAAGACAUGAAAUAAAAUCCACUUUACACUCCUAUUACCUAAUAUAGUAGAGCUAAAAUAAAUAAUAGAAGAUAUGAGACAUAAUGUAGACUCGCACAUAAACUUUGGAGAGUUCCUUGGUGGUGUUCCUUUUAUGUUUUUGGGGUUUUUUUGCUUAUGGUUUUGGCUGUUGUCUCAUCAGUGUGACAUUACUGACACCUAGUGACCAGUGUAGAAAGCUACAUAUCUUUGAAUGUGUGUUCUGUAUGCUUUAUAUUGGUAAUUUAUGUCAUUUAGCCAUUUUAUGCUUAAUACAUUUAGGGGGAAAAAAUCACAUCAUUUGUCUAAAUAUAUAUUUUUUGCAACUAAUAGACAGUAUUAAAGCACAAAACAGUGCUGUUUUUUUAAACCAUGAUAGCGUAAAGCGCAAAGAGUCGAGGGAUUCCUGUACUUUGUAUCUAAAUAGAUAUUUAAGAGUGUUACACAGAGAUGUGUGCUGUGUUGAGUUGUGUUUAAUGGACCUAUUUUUGAAGGGCUAUGUUAAGCGUUUAUUUAUGCAAACCAUGUCUUGUCUUGUUGUUUUGGAAAAAGUGCAGUAUGUGUUUAUUAUUAAGUUUCAUGCCGCUAAACAAAUGCUGACAAAGAAUGUUACAGUUCAAAUUUGAACUAAAAAGAAAUGUCUAUUUUAUUGAUCAUCUAUUGACCACAGUUUCAAAAUGUUAUGAGGUUAUUAUAUAAAUAUAUUUUACAUUAAAAAAAAUUAAUAGAAGACAUUUGGAGAACUAAGAAUAAAGUAUUUUCUCACCCUCAAA